GUGCUUCAAACGUCAACACGCCUCGGCACAGUGGUUCGAAACAAUUGUUUCAUGAGCUACCGCGCAUGUGUCGGAGCCUCGGGUGUCAAACGGCCAUCACUAAAUAAUGGUGCAAAGGCAUUAGCAGGGAAAUAUAUCUAAAUUACCAAAAAUAAAAGUAGUCACUGUUAGUUUGUACAGGUUUCUGUGAUCAGAGUAAUUGUUAUAACUAGGGCAGACAUUAUAGGAGUAACUCACCCCAUGUAUCUUUCAAUAGGCCACAGAACGCACGGACAAGAAUAUGGGAUUCGCACGGCUUAAAUAGUUUCAGGCGUGUCAUGCGAGGAGGACCGAACAGUGUUCUGGGCCCCUACUCCACAACUGUAGAAUGUUUCUCACCUCAGCUUGCAUUUGAUGUCCACAUGUAGGAGUGACAGCUGUCACAUUCUACAGUUGUGGUUUAAGUGAGAGUACUAUACUAGCACUGAUAGCUUCAGGUUCUGAUCCUCCAAAUGGCCAGAAACAAGGCAGCCAUAGCGCCGGAGUUCUUGUCAGGUUUCUUUGCAGUGUCUUUACAUCCAGAGGGACCAUUUUCCUGAUGUGGACAGUGAAGCAGCAGCAAUCUUUCAACAAAUAAAAAAUUUAUUAUCUAGUGAAGAACUAAGACAUGAACCAGUGCAUCCUAUUGUUAUAAUAAAACCAGGACAAGAAAGCUUUAAAGUUGUAAUUGCUUUAUUGAAGAGAACACAUCAAAACAAGGCUGAAAAAAAGUCACUGAGUACCCUUUAUAAAUGCUGCAGAGCCAACAUGUGACUGGACCACAAUUAUGGAGCAUCUUCAUAACUGUGGUCCAGGCACAUGCAGUGCAACAGCAUGGAGAGAAAUGUGAGGUACUCUGCCUUGAUGACCCCACCAGUAGAGAUUUCCCAUCUUGCCAAAACCUCAGCAGCUGGUUGGGCAGAAGUGGA